GAUGAACGCUGGCGGCGUGCCUAAUACAUGCAAGUCGAGCGAACAGACGAGGAGCUUGCUCCUCUGACGUUAGCGGCGGACGGGUGAGUAACACGUGGAUAACCUACCUAUAAGACUGGGAUAACUUCGGGAAACCGGAGCUAAUACCGGAUAAUAUAUUGAACCGCAUGGUUCAAUAGUGAAAGACGGUUUUGCUGUCACUUAUAGAUGGAUCCGCGCCGCAUUAGCUAGUUGGUAAGGUAACGGCUUACCAAGGCGACGAUGCGUAGCCGACCUGAGAGGGUGAUAGGCCACACUGGAACGGAGCCGCGGACCAGACGCCUACGGGAGGCAGCAGUAGGGAAUCUGCCGCAAUGGGCGAAAGCCUGACGGAGCAACGCCGCGUGAGUGAUGAAGGUCUUCGGAUCGUAAAACUCUGUUAUUAGGGAAGAACAAAUGUGUAAGUAACUGUGCACGUCUUGACGGUACCUAAUCAGAAAGCAACGGCUAACUACGUG
rnacentral:rRNA from 1 species